rnacentral:rRNA from 1 species
GACGAACGCUGGCGGCGUGCCUAAUACAUGCAAGUCGAACGCUUCUUUCCUCCCGAGUGCUUGCGCUCAAUUGGAAAGAGGAGUGGCGGACGGGUGAGUAACACGUGGGUAACCUACCCAUCAGAGGGGGAUAACACUUGGAAACAGGUGCUAAUACCGCAUAACAGUUUAUGCCGCAUGGCAUAAGAGUGAAAGGCGCUUUUCGGGUGUCGCUGAUGGAUGGACCCGCGGUGCAUUAGCUAGUUGGUGAGGUAACGGCUCACCAAGGCCACGAUGCAUAGCCGACCUGAGAGGGUGAUCGGCCACACUGGGACUGAGACACGGCCCAGACUCCUACGGGAGGCAGCAGUAGGGAAUCUUCGGCAAUGGACGAAAGUCUGACCGAGCAACGCCGCGUGAGUGAAGAAGGUUUUCGGAUCGUAAAACUCU